UUCCACAGCUUGAGUCGAGGGGGGAGCGACUCUGCGAGCCAGACAAUGCGGCAACGAGGCCACGGGCGGUAGAGAGCUGUCUGUUUUAUCUGUUGCUGCUGCCUUUGCGUCCUUGAUGGGAGCCCCCUCCUGUGGAAUGCCUGGCCCUGAUGAGAAGGAGAAAGAAGUGCAUCAGAGGGUGAACAGAGGGCCUGGAGGGUGAAUAUGGCAGACAGAAUGCAGAAGGAAAGAGUGGACAGGAGAAAGGCCCAGGAAUCCCAGCAGGAAGAGGAGAGGGAGAUUCACCAAGACAUAAUGGAACUUCUCAGACAGCGAACACAAAUGCUGCAGAUUCUUGUUGACCUACAGGCCCAACAACCACAGCCUCGCCACCCUCUGCAGUCACUGGAGUACGCCAGUUUAACAGGUCCCGAUACCCCUCAACAUUCCACGUGGCAUCAUGGGCUGCAUCUCUACUCCUACCACCCUAUGCUAAGGGACAGACAGAACAACCACAGCUUCACAUACACUGACUUGUGAGACCUACAGCUGAUGUAUGUGUGGCCAAAAUGGACUGAAAUAGACAGGAGUGUUUCCACCUUUCUAAUUUUAAAGUUCUAUUCCAUUAAUUUAUUGUAGAAGUUGGUAUUGUAUUGUUUUGUUUUUAAUUGCACUUUUUCUUUGCAUUGUUUUUGGUAUGCAAUACAUUUACUUUAUUUAUUUAUUUUAUUUAAUAAAUUCAACUUUAGUACGUCAC